GCCGAAUUAGCUCAGAGGUAGAGCGUCAGUCUUGUAAACUGAAGGUCAGGUGUUCGAUUCCCCUAUUCGGCU
rnacentral:tRNA from 1 species